UACGUAGGGUGCGAGCGUUGUCCGGAAUUACUGGGCGUAAAGAGCUCGUAGGUGGUUUGUCGCGUUGUCCGUGAAAACUCACAACUCAAUUGUGGGCGUGCGGGCGAUACGGGCAGACUGGAGUACUGCAGGGGAGACUGGAAUUCCUGGUGUAGCGGUGGAAUGCGCAGAGUAUCAGGAGGAACACCGGUGGCGAAGGCGGGUCUCUGGGCAGUAACUGACGCUGAGGAGCGAAAGCGUGGGGAGCGAACAGG
rnacentral:rRNA from 1 species